rnacentral:rRNA from 1 species
AGAGUUUGAUCCUGGCUCAGGAUAACGCUGGCGGCGUGCCUAAUGCAUGCAAGUCGAACGGGAUCGCUUUCGGGCGACGACCGUGGCGGACGGGUGAGGAGCACGUAGCUGACCUGCCCUGGUGUGGGGGAUAUCCUCCGGAAACGGAGUGUAAUACCGCAUGUGCUUGAUUGGAGGGAUCCGAUCAAGGAAAGCCGAGAGGCGUACCAGGAGGGGGCUGCGUCCGAUUAGCUGGUUGGUGGGGUAACGGCCUACCAAGGCGAUGAUCGGUAGCUGGUCUGAGAGGACGAUCAGCCACACGGGGACUGAGACACGGCCCCGACUCCUACGGGAGGCAGCAGCAAGGAAUUUUCCACAAUGGGCGCAAGCCUGAUGGAGCAACGCCGCGUGGGGGAUGACGCACUUCGGUGUGUAAACCCCUUUUCGAGGGGACGAAGGCAAUGACGGUACCCUCGGAAGAAGGAUCGGCUAACUACGUGCCAGCAGCCGCGGUAAGACGUAGGAUCCGAGCGUUGUCCGGAGUUACUGGGCGUAAAGCGCGCGCAGGCGGACACGCGCAUCGGCGGUGAAAGCCCCCCGCUCAACGGGGGAGGGUCCGUCGAGAUGGCGUGUCUGGAGGCAGGGAGAGGCCAGUGGAAUUCCGGGUGUAGUGGUGAAAUGCGUAGAGAUCCGGAGGAACACCAGUGGCGAAGGCGGCUGGCUGGACCUGACCUGACGCUGAGGCGCGAAGGCGUGGGGAGCGAACGGGAUUAGAUACCCCGGUAGUCCACGCAGUAAACGAUGGGUACUAGGUGUGGCGGGAGUUGACCCCUGCCGUGCCGGCGCUAACGCAGUAAGUACCCCGCCUGGGGAGUACGGCCGCAAGGCUAAAACUCAAAUGAAUUGACGG